rnacentral:misc_RNA from 1 species
CAGAGUUGCAAGACUCCCUAAACCAUUGUGAACCUACCUUCUACCGUUGCUUCGGCGGGCGGGCCCAGCGCCCCCCCCCGGCCCCCCGCGGGCGCCCGCCGGAGGAUACCCAAACUCUUGACAUUAGUGGCCUCUCUGAGUAUUCUUUACUGAAUAAGUC